rnacentral:tRNA from 1 species
GCGGAAGUAGUGUCGGAAGGGCAUUUUCGACCCGUCCCUAAUACAAGUUUGAGCCCUUACCUUGCCAAGGUAAGGGUCGCCGGUUCGAGCCCGGUCUCCCGCUCCA